GUAGUAUCAUGUAUCGUGUUUCUCUCAUUCACGACUGCUGCACGAUGGGUUAUCACGUUCCUGCAAGAGUAUCCAGUGCAGAAUUACCUGUCAAACGUCCCGCCACCAAAAGAUGAAAACUAUGGCAGGAACCUAUAUAUCCCAAGUUACUCGCGGCUAGGACCUUACAUAGUGGGCUUAUUUGUUGGCUACCUGCUCUAUAAGACAAAGAGCAAACUAAAAAUCCCCAAGUCGUUAAAUCUAGUGUUGUGGUUCGUGAGCUUCUCCACAUUCUGCCUGGUGGUAUAUGGACCCUACUCGCAGGACGGCAACCAUAUCUUCAGUGUGAACGAGUCGUCUGCAUACUUUGCAUUGGCUCGCACCGCCUGGGGCGUGGCUCUUGCCUACCUCAUAGUCGC